rnacentral:lncRNA from 1 species
CCGGUCUCUGUCUAAGCUUGAAACCCUAAAGGCUCCCUCUUCUUCUUCGUCUUCGGCUGUCUCUACGCUUGCUCCUCCAUCCGCCUGAAUAGUCGCCGUUGGGGUUAAUCGCUAGUUUUUGGUCAUGUCUUGCCUACAACUCUUUCCAUUUCUCCGCAUUGGCUCUUUAUUUGGUCAGAUUUUCAUCGAUUCGACUUUGAAAUUGUUCUUUAUUUCUUUUCUUGAUUCAUUUCGAUCUUUUAUAACUCUUAGCAAUUUUUUUGGAAUUAAAAAGAAUGGUCUCCAUCUCUACAAGAACUAUUUUCUGUCUUUAGUUUUGUGACAUCCCUAAAUUUUGAUAUCUCAGUUGUUUAUCAAUCGCAGGGAGCUUGUGCCUUGUAGAUGUAGAGAAGUCCCGCAAGCCGGUUGCCUCUUCUGACAUGCCUGCUCUUCCUGGUACUUUCAUUUCCUUUGUGAGUGUGUAUAAAUGGAAAUGUUUGACAUUUGUGGAAACAUUUAUUUGGAUUUUCAUUUUGUAUUAGAGGAAAUAUUUAACGGGCCAUCGAUUUUAGUGUUGAAAUUUGAAGAUUUUGGCUACUGCAAAUGUCUGAUUUUGGCUUGGUUAGUGAUGUUGGAUAUAGAUUCUUUUGUUUAUUUAAGUGGUUGGAAUUACAGUUUCAUUGAAAUGUGAAGUUUAAAAUUUGUUUAGGGGUUUAAUUAUAUAUAUGCUGGAUCACUAACUACAUAAUCAAAUGCUUUAAUAUUUCAAAACAAAUGACCACUGGCCUUUAAAUUGUCAUUGAUCAAGAUGAGUUCCCUGAUCUAUUAUUCUUCCCUUUGUACAUAAGCAGCAAUGCAAUCUCCCCACUUAACUAGUUUGUGAUUGAUUAUUGAUUGUAUUCCUUUCAGUAACCUUAUGAAUUUUUCUGCCUUACUUAGAAGAAAAAAGUGUAUACUCUUUGAUAAAUUAAAUGCUAAUCUCUCAACACUGAAGUUGGUAGAGAGCAACUUAGGAUAAUGAAAAAAAAUUGCAGGUAGCAAUGAUUAUUGAGGUGUAUAGAUGUCUUGCAUGCAAAUAUGUUGCCAGGCGAGAUGUUGACUAAUAUGUUUCUCAAGGAAAGCAGUUCACUAAACUGGGUUUUAGAUCAGGUAGCUUGAUAAAAGGAGUGUGGGGAAACAUGAGCAGAUCUUAUGUAUUUUUUUGCAUUAAUGGCAUCAAUUUGUAAUUUUCACUUUCAACCAUCUUCUGAGAUGGGGAGCUUGAGGUCUGGACUAAUACAACAAUUGUUCAUAUUGAAAUCCUAAACAUAUGCACAUGAAAUUUACUGUUAUCUGUGCAUCUUUCAUCCCUUCCAGAAGGUCAUUUAAAGAAGUUUGUUUGAUGAAAUUGGGGAUUGUAAAAGAUUAAUGCAGCUGAAUAUGCUAUUGAGAAUAAUCAAUAUUCUAUGUACUUCGGCUUUUACAAAUUUAACUUGGUAACAUUGAUAUAGUUUUGUGCAUAUUUAUACAUCUAUUCCAAUGCUCACAUUCAUUAUUUGUAUAUUGUCUAUGAAAUUUUCUUUGUGUUUGUGUGGUUUUGUGAAAUUUUCAAGUUUUGUGUUUGUGAAAUAUUUGAGUUUGUUGUUCAGAUAAGGAGCUCAUAUUUUGUUACAUGUGACUAAAGUGUUUCGUAUUCAGAAGGUAAACGUUCACGUAUAUACGCACAUAAAUACAUAUAAUCUCUAUAUUUAAAUGGCAUUUGAUAUUAUUUAGUUGAGAUGAUUGAAUAUUUCAAGAUAUUUUAUUUAUUUUAUUUUUAAAUUAUGUGGAGUGCCAAAAUUGGAGUCUUAUAAUUGCUAGCAAAAAAAUUAAUAUGCAUGAAUAUAUGAAUUGUUUUGGUUUGAUUUUAAUAUAUUUAUCUAAUUAGAAACUACUAUUGAUCGAGCACAAGAAUAGUAGGUAAUCUUUCUACACGGAUUUUAGAAAAUACAUGAAUAGUAAAGUAUGGUGAAUAUAUAUAGAUGAAAAGUCUGUGAAAUAUGACACUUGUUAUUUUUAAAAAUAUAUCCAACAAUAUUCUUAAUUAUUUGAUUUUUUUAUAAUUUGAUUUUUCAUUUUCCUAUAAAUAUUAAGAAAUCAACCUACUUUAAUAAUAUUUUAUGACAUUUAAUCCACGAUAUCUCAUUUUCAGCACUACCUAUUAAUUUCAUAAACAUUUUGUGUAAUUUCUCAUUAUUUUUAUUAUUUAUUGAAUUCGGUUUAUAAUUGUAAAUUUGUUGUGGUAUAUUUAUUUAAAAACGUGUUUUAAUUGUGGUGUGGACAUAAUGUGGCGUCACUAGCAAAUUUUGUGAUUGUAAUAUAAUUGUUCAAAACAAAAUAGUUUCAAAUAUGUAGAAUUUAUAACAUAAAUGUAUGCAAAAUACUUGAGCCUACAAAUUUCACUUCUUCUAUAGCCCGUCUUGUAGCAUCAAAUCCAAAAAAUGAAAAAAAAAUGAGUAGCUGCUAUUCUUCAAAGAAGUUAGAAAUGUGAUAGUAUCUAGAAUAAUUUGUUCUAGCACCAGUCUAUAUAGUACUAUAUGAUAAGUUCAAUUAAAGGUAAGAUCAUAUGAUUUAUUUAAAUGUACCUUUCAUUUAAUGGCACUUAGUGUGUAUACAAAUAUAUGUAUGUUAGUAUAUAAUUAUAAUCGUCAAUCUCAAUAUAAUCUAAUCAAUUACGAGAUAUGGAGAUUUGUCAAUUUCAAUUAAUUAGUCAUAUCUUUUAUCUCAUUCUUCAAUUUAAGGGAAUGAAAUGUAAAUCAUAAGAUAAUUAUUCUAUCAGCG